GAUGAACGCUGGCGGCGUGCCUAAUACAUGCAAGUCGAGCGAACGGACGAGAAGCUUGCUUCUCUGAUGUUAGCGGCGGACGGGUGAGUAACACGUGGAUAACCUACCUAUAAGACUGGGAUAACUUCGGGAAACCGGAGCUAAUACCGGAUGAUAUUUUGAACCGCAUGGUUCAAAAGUGAAAGACGGUCUUGCUGUCACUUAUAGAUGGAUCCGCGCCGCAUUAGCUAGUUGGUAAGGUAACGGCUUACCAAGGCAACGAUGCGUAGCCGACCUGAGAGGGUGAUCGGCCACACUGGAACUGAGACACGGUCCAGACUCCUACGGGAGGCAGCAGUAGGGAAUCUUCCGCAAUGGGCGAAAGCCUGACGGAGCAACGCCGCGUGAGUGAUGAAGGUCUUCGGAUCGUAAAACUCUGUUAUUAGGGAAGAACAAAUGUGUAAGUAACUAUGCACGUCUUGACGGUACCUAAUCAGAAAGCCACGGCUAACUACGUG
rnacentral:rRNA from 1 species